CAGCAGCCGCGGUAAUACGAAGGGGGCUAGCGUUGUUCGGAUUUACUGGGCGUAAAGCGCACGUAGGCGGAUCGAUCAGUCAGGGGUGAAAUCCCAGAGCUCAACUCUGGAACUGCCCUUGAUACUGUCGAUCUGGAGUAUGGAAGAGGUGAGUGGAAUUCCGAGUGUAGAGGUGAAAUUCGUAGAUAUUCGGAGGGACACCAGUGGCGAAGGCGGCUCACUGGUCCAUUACUGACGCUGAGGUGCGAAAGCGUGGGGAGCAAACAGGAUUAGAUACCCCAGUAGUCCCUGUCUCUUAUAC
rnacentral:rRNA from 1 species